rnacentral:rRNA from 1 species
CAGCCCUAAACGAUGCGCGUUAGGUGUAUCGGUGACCACGAGUCACCGAGGUGCCGAAGGGAAACCGUGAAACGUGCCGCCUGGGAAGUACGGUCGCAAGGCCGAAACUUAAAGGAAUUGGCGGGGGAGCACCACAACGGGUGGAGCCUGCGGUUUAAUUGGACUCAACGCCGGGAAGCUCACCGGAUAAGACAGCGGAAUGAUUGCCGGGCUGAAGACCCUGCAUGACCAGCUGAGAGGAGGUGCAUGGCGUAGACGUCU